rnacentral:rRNA from 1 species
ACCUGCAGUCGAGCGGGCGUAGCAAUACGUCAGCGGCAGACGGGUGAGUAACGCGUGGGAACGUACCUUUUGGUUCGGAACAACACAGGGAAACUUGUGCUAAUACCGGAUAAGCCCUUACGGGGAAAGAUUUAUCGCCGAAAGAUCGGCCCGCGUCUGAUUAGCUAGUUGGUGAGGUAAUGGCUCACCAAGGCGACGAUCAGUAGCUGGUCUGAGAGGAUGAUCAGCCACAUUGGGACUGAGACACGGCCCAAACUCCUACGGGAGGCAGCAGUGGGGAAUAUUGGACAAUGGGCGCAAGCCUGAUCCAGCCAUGCCGCGUGAGUGAUGAAGGCCCUAGGGUUGUAAAGCUCUUUUGUGCGGGAAGAUAAUGACGGUACCGCAAGAAUAAGCCCCGGCUAACUUCGUGCCAGCAGCCGCGGUAAUACGAAGGGGGCUAGCGUUGCUCGGAAUCACUGGGCGUAAAGGGUGCGUAGGCGGGUCUUUAAGUCAGGGGUGAAAUCCUGGAUCUCAACUCCCGAACUGCCUUUGAUACUGAAGAUCUUGAGUUCCCGGAGAUGUGAGUGGAACUGCCAGUGUAAACGUGAAAUUCUCUAUAUAUUCGCAAGAACACCAGUGGCGAAGGCGGCUCACUGACUCCCAUCCUGACCCUCAAAGAACCACAGCGUGGGGGAGCGAACAGGAUUUAAAUAACACUG